GUAAUCAGAAAGCUUUUAUUGAGUUAUUAGACAAAUCAGUCAUAACAUCAGUCUGAUGUCAAAUAUAAAAAAAAAUACAUUCCUUAAGGAUUGAACUUAAUUAUGAAGUAUCCCUUACAACAUUAAUUCCAAAGAGGUUACUGGAAUGAAGAGAUCGAGGAGAAUGAAGAACCGAUAGCACUCGUUCUGUGCAGAAGGCCACAGCCACUCAAUUUUGGGGUUAAU